AUUGAACGCUGGCGGCAGGCUUAACACAUGCAAGUCGAGCGGAGAUGAGGUGCUUGCACCUUAUCUUAGCGGCGGACGGGUGAGUAAUGCUUAGGAAUCUGCCUAUUAGUGGGGGACAACAUUCCGAAAGGAAUGCUAAUACCGCAUACGCCCUACGGGGGAAAGCAGGGGAUCUUCGGACCUUGCGCUAAUAGAUGAGCCUAAGUCGGAUUAGCUAGUUGGUGGGGUAAAGGCCUACCAAGGCGACGAUCUGUAGCGGGUCUGAGAGGAUGAUCCGCCACACUGGGACUGAGACACGGCUCAGACUCCUACGGGAGGCAGCAGUGGGGAAUAUUGGACAAUGGGCGGAAGCCUGAUCCAGCCAUGCCGCGUGUGUGAAGAAGGCCUUUUGGUUGUAAAGCACUUUAAGCGAGGAGGAGGCUACCUGGAUUAAUACUCUAGGAUAGUGGACGUUACUCGCAGAAUAAGCACCGGCUAACUCUGUGCCAGCCGCCGCCGUAA
rnacentral:rRNA from 1 species